rnacentral:tRNA from 1 species
AAAAAGUUAGUUAAGUUAUAAUAUAAGGUUGUCAGCCUUAUGCCACUGUUUAUAAGUCAGUACUUUUUG